CGCCGCGUGUGGCCCGGGUGACCAGGCAGUCCGUUCCGGGCGGGCACUGUGAUCCCGGUCGCCGUCGGUUCGGGUAUUCGAUCCGGGGCGG
rnacentral:tRNA from 1 species